rnacentral:pre_miRNA from 1 species
CAAGUACUCCCUCCGUCCGAAAAUACUUGUCAUCAAAAUGGAUAAAAGGGGAUGUAUCUAGACGUAUUUUAGUUCUAGAUACAUCUCUUUUUAUCUAUUUUGAUGACAAGUAUUUUCGGACGGAGGGAGUAUAAG